ACGAAAUAAUAUUAUAUUAAACAAAGGCAUCAUUGAACUGUUGGACAAAAGCUGUCUGCUGGUGGUCUCCAAUUGCCAAUCUAACUACCAUAACAAUCUUGCAGUUGUCCCCUAUAGGACCACAAAACAACAAGAACUCAACCCUGUUUCCCACUGCCAAAACAUCAUAAUCCAAAUUUGUUGAUAAGUAAUAUACAACUGCAGGAAAGUAUAGGUAUUAUAAGUUUAGAGGAAGCUAGUCCCAAGCACUAGUUACUCCAGGACCAUAUCCCCCACUAUAAUUGCCAUAACCGCCACUACUAUUACCUCCAUCAUAGUAAUUCAUACCACCUCCCCCUCCACUUCUAUUGUACGACGAAUCCCUCCUGAAGUCACGCCCACCAAAACGCCCUCCGCCAGCUCGCCUGUUUCUGCCUCCUCCGAAUGAUGAACGGCUAGCAUAACGAGUCAACCAUUCAGGUACAUCCUGAUUAGCUUCUUGCAUCAAGUCAGCUAGGGGUUUGGCCAUGGAAAGGUUACCAUCAUUAAAGAAAGCAGUUGCUAAUCCAGUCUUGCCUGCACGACCUGUCCUGCCUAUACGAUGCACAUAAUCAUCAAUGUCAUUAGGAAGGUCAAAGUUUAUAACAUGAGAAACAUGAGGGAUAUCAAGGCCUCGAGCGGCCACAUCCGUUGCAACUAAAAUUGGGGUAUCUCCUCUCUUGAAUGUUCUCAAUGCUUGCUCCCUUUCCUGCUGAGUCCUAUCACCAUGAAUAGCAGUUGCAGGAAAUCCAUUAAUACACAACCAAUGCUCCAAUGCAUCAGCACCCUUCUUUGUUUCAACAAAUACCAAAGUUAGAGAAUGCUUGCCAUGAACCCCAUUAGCCAUCUGUGCAUGAAGUAGAUCCAUAAGAUGGCUUCUCUUGUCAACAUCAUGCACAAACUCAACUCGCUGAACAAUCAAAUCAGUACUAGAACCAACCCGCCCAACUGCCAAAAAUAUGUAGUUUGCAAGAAAAUCAGAUGCCAGUCUCUGAAUCUCUUUUGGGAAUGUGGCACUGAACAGCAUAGUCUGUCUUUCACCAGGUGGAGGCAUAUCCAUUUGCUGCACUAUCCUUCUGAUUUGAGGUUCGAAUCCCAUGUCCAGC
rnacentral:misc_RNA from 1 species